rnacentral:lncRNA from 1 species
UUUUCUUUCCAUAGGUCAAACAUCAAGACCUAUGGAUAUUAGGGUUUGACCAACAGUCCAAAGGUUUCAACGGUCGACCCUCAUACUCAGGUAAUUUCUACGACGUUUUUCCCUCUAUUCUUCUGAUUCUCACCCGUGUUUGUUAUCAUCAUCCGCCCCUUUGUCACUUUCCACUCACAAUUUUGAAUCAACUGGAACCCUAAGGCAUUGAAGGCCACUAUAAAUACUACUUUAAAUGCACUCACCUAACACACGAAGAAACACAAAUAAAUAUGAAUACACUUUAGGAAAUUCAAGUUUGAGUCUUUGUUGUCUAAAGCUUGAACCUCGGUAGUGUUCUUUCUUCUGAUCUCUCUUCUUUUUUGUGUGAAUUCAACCCUUGAGAGUUGACUGUUGUUGAUUUUGGUCUCUAAAUGGCUAUCAAUAUGAUCCUACUUGGUUUUCUGCCCUGCAAAAGGUUAGUGCACAUUGACCUCCUUUUAUCUCACUUUAAUCAUGUAGUCCUAUAUUCGUAAUGUUUUUCUUGUCAAUCAUCCUUUGUUUGUGGUAUAUAUUAUACUUGUUAUGUCCUGUCUUUGUGUUCAAUCCUUAUGGUUAAUUCAUAAAAUUUCAGAUUGAGUUAUGUUGUUCUUGGUACUGUUAUCAACUUGUGUUGUUAAUUAAAGUUAUCUAUCAUGACUUAGCUAUUUGAAAGUGUUUUGAAUUGUUAUUCUCUCAUGACUAAAUCCAGUUAAUUUUCCUUACUAUUAAAUAGAUCAAAUAUUAUAUUAAUGAUAUUAUGUAAACCAAAACAAAUAAUUGCAUGAGCACUGUCAUGUCUGCUAAGCUAGUUGAAUCAUGUCCUCGAACCUUUCUUUGUAUCCAUGUAUCUCCAGAUUACUUGAACCUCCUACUUAUGAUGCUAUGUUGAUGUUACAAAUAUAUCCCAUGUACUCCAUGUUAUGUACUUAACAUGUCUGCCCUAGUAAUCUUGGUUGAUAAGUGUGUGAGGGAUGACCUACCUGUUUUAUACAUUUAUUGAUCCAUGUAUAGCUUUUACUUUUAGAUCCUUUAAAGCUUCAUGAUUAAUUAAAUCCUAUAUUAACUAUGAUGUAUGCGAUCUGUGGUCUAGUAAUUGGUUAUGCAGAUAAAAUGUAACGAUCUGAUCGAUCGUUUUAUGUAAUUACGCUCCGUUUUCCCUUUUUACACUUCACACAUAUAUGUUAAUAAUUUUAUAACUUGCAGGGUUAGUUAGUUCCAUUCCGGGAAGCUUUCGGGUUGAUUUGGACCUUUUAUUCUUGACUUAGAAAUUUAAAAAUGAUGAUCAAACUUUAACUUUUGUAAAAAUGACCCCGAAAUUGUAUUUUUAUGAUUCCGAUAGCUUCGUAUUGUGAUUUCGAACUUGGGCAUAUGCCCAGAAUUUGAUUUUGGAAGUCCGUAAAUUGAUUUAUGUGGAUUUGCCAAAAUUUGACAAUUUGAAGUUGAAAGGUUUGACCGUAUAUAGACUUUUAGCUAUUGAGCUCGAAAUUUGAUUUUGUGACAUGGAAUAAGUCCGUUAUGGUAUUUAGAACUUGUCUGCAAAAUUUGGUGUAGUUUGGAGUUGAUUUGAUAGGAUUCAGAUGUUUAGUUAUAAUUCUAGAAGUUCUUGAAAAUUUCUUUGCAAUUCAUGUGUUUUAGAGUUCAAUUCAUAGUUUUAGAUGUUAUUUUUUUGUUUUGAUCAUGCGAGCGAGUUCGUAUGAUGUUUUUAGAUUUUUGUGGAUGUUUGGUUUGGAAUCCCCAGGGUGCGGAUGAGUUUCGGACAUGUUCCGGAGUGGUUUGGACUGAAAUUGCAGAAAUCUGGUGUUUAGCGCUCUUUGCGAGCUUAGUGGGGGGUGGGGUGGGGGUGGGGGACUUAGGUAUCGCAACUGCGAUGCCAGGCUCGCAAAUGCGAAAAAGCUUCCCGGAGAGGGUAGUUCGCAUUUGCGAUAAUACAAUCGCAUUUACAAUGGAGACAAGCUUCACAAUUGCGACCUCCUCAUAGGGCUGACAGUGGCCGGUAGGAGAUGAUCAAAAGGGCUGGAAGUUGGGAUUUCACCUCUCAUUCUCACGUUUUUGAACCCUAGACUCGGUAGGAGACGAUUUGAAGAGGAGAUUUUCACCUACAAACCUUGGGUAAGUAAGUCUAAUCUAUUUCUAAUCAUAUUCCAUCAUUAUAUUUUAGAUUUUAACAUCAAAAUCAUGUGAAUCAAAGUGAAAAAUUGUGAAACCUUGUCAAGUUUUUGAAAAAUAAGAAGUUGAGUUUUGAGAGUCGAUUUGGACUCAGAUUUUGAAAUUAAUCACAUAUAUGAGCUCGUGAGGUCAUGGAUAGUCGGAAUCUACCAUUGAACCCGGGUUUUGACCAGCAAGCCCCGAGUUGACUUUUGUUGACUUUUUGGGAAAAGUGUAAAGAUCAAAGUUUUAUUUAUUGUAAUUAUUUUCUCUUGUAUUGGUUGAUGAUAUUGAGUUAAUUUUGGGUUAGAGUUGAGCCGUGUGGAGACGAGUUUUAAGGGAAAAGCAAUUUCUGAGGGUUGAGUUGCCCAAGUCGAGGUAAAUGUCUUGCCUAACUUCGUGUGGGGGAACUACCCCUUAGGAUUUGGUAUUGAUUAUGUCUUUUGUGCUAUGUGAAAACUGUGUUACGCAAGAUGACGAGUGGGUACACGGUUGUACGUGGUAUUUGACCCGUUUAUGCUACUUACAAUAAUUUCAUGCUUUAAUUGAAAUGUCAUAUCAUGUUCUAAAUUCUCAUAGUCAAUCUAUCCUUAUUUAUGUUGGUCUAUCCUUAGAUGCCUUAAUUGACUUGUUUAGCACUUGUUUUAUAUCCUACUUGAUAAAUUUCUCUCAUGCUCUAGUUGAACUUGUUGCCUCUUUUAUUAUUACAUGCUACAUCUUUAUUGCUAAAUAUCAUUAUUUGAAGUAAUUGUUCGUGUUAUCUCCUUCCUUAUUGAUUAUCAAUACUUGAAGCUAAUGUUAAUGUUAUCCCUUUCCUUGUUGAUUUCCAAUAAUUGAAGUCAUUGUUAUACGUUAUCUCUUCCAUUGUGAGUUAUCCUUAUUAUUAUCGUGGUUAUACAUUAUUUCUCAUUGUCGAGUUAUUGGUGCUGAAGUUGUGAAAGUCGUUAUCACGUUGCAGCAAAAUUGUUAUUGUUGAAACACCUUCUUUGUUGAGCAUUUUACAUUCAUUGUUGUUGUUGAUAUUAUUGUAUACAUUGUGGUGGAGUCGUGGGCUAUUAUUGUGGAAACAUUAAUAUUGUUAAUUUUUGGCAAGUUAUGAUAUAUGGGCACUUGUGGUGCGAGUUAUUAUUGUGAUAUGAUAUUGACGUGCAUGCAACAGUAUAAGGCUUGGGGUUAAUGUGCAUGUGGUAGUAUAAGGCGGUACUUAUGUGCGUGUUGCUUGUAGGGGAACUACGUGAAGCCACGCGACGUCAUAAGGUGGGAUAAAGUACGUGUAGCUAUCACGAAAAAAUUAUUUUCAAAACUUAUUACAAAUGUAAGGCUCACGCGGCAGUAUAAAGAAAGACUGUGAUUGAGAUUGUGAACUGUAAAUACGAGGCGGUACCUUGGUUAUGACUCUUGAUUUAUACGUGGCGGUACCUCGGUGGUGAUUCUUAUAGUACACGAGGUGGUACCUCAUUGUGAUAUUUUUGUUUAUCUUAUGUUGCAAAGGUCUUUCAGUUGUUUUGUUUUUCCUUGUCCUAGCAGUUAUUGUCCGUAUAUGAGCAUUUUGGUUCUCUUCAGUUGUUUCUUUAUGUUAAUUCCAUGUUAAAAUUUUCGGUAUUAGUUUAGGUUAUUAUCUUGUUUCGUAUCGGUUAUUUCUCUUUUUUCUAUUAUGAUUCGGUCUUUUGGUUUUAUUCUGCUUAUUUAUAUCCUAGUAGGUGUCUUGACCUGGUCUCGUCACUACUCUACUGAGGUUAGGCUUGAUACUUACUGAGUACCAUUGUGGUAUACUCAUACUACGCUUCUACACAAUAUUUGCACAGAUCCAGGUACGUCUGCCCGUACCGAACACUAGAGUUGAUUUGAGUUGUUGCUUGGAAACUUCAAGGUAUACCCGCUCCACGUCCGUAGGCCUCAGAGUCACCUUCCCUAUUUUACUUCCUGUUGUAUUUCUUUUAGACAGUGAUGUAUUAUAUAUUCUAGUUUAUUCUAUAGAGCUUAUGACUCAGUUUCACCGGUUUUAGGGAGUGUAUUGAUGAUAUUUUGCUUUGUUUCAGAAGGUUAUAUCAGUUAUUCAGCUUUAUUUUAGUAUUUUGAUAAUUGUUUCUGCUAAGUUAUUAUUAUCUGUUAGGCUUACCUAGUCAUAGAGACUAGGUUCCAUCAUGACAUCCUACAGAGAGAAAUUGGGGCCGUGACAUAAAAAAUGUAAUAAAAAUCAGAACUUUAAGAUCUUCUCGAGAACACUGCUGAUACUUGUCAACACCAAGCAAUUUUGAUACUUGUAAUGUCAUGUUGUUUGGAUUCAGUUCCUAUCCUCAUGAUGACUUGUUCGAACUCUAACUAAUAGCUUGCUUAUGUUAAUGUAAUAGAAUAAUCUCUAUGUGUUCUCUGCAAUAACUUGAAAAUAUGCAAAUAAACCUUGCUAAUGUGUUAGGGAACCUGCACAUAUGAUUGAGUAUAACUUGACUAGGAGAACUCUCUAUAGUAAAUGUUGACACUUGCCUAUUUGAGCUUUGUGAAACUCCUGCUGAUAUAUCAAUCCUCUCCAUGUCUGAGUGCACAUCUGUCAUGUUAAUUGUGUUGUGCUCAUAGACCAUGUAUGACUUUUUGUUGAGGAAUUUUACACUUAUACAUAUGUGUUAACUCUCUACCUACCAUGAUUCUGACCCUGCUAUGAUGUUACAUUGGUCUGUAUUUGUAAAUAUCUCUCACUGAGGAAACUUGUUCCUAAUGCUUAUAAUGACUAAUGCUUGUGACUUUAACUGUUGGGCUUAACCAUGACCUCACAGUAUCUUAAUCUCUACUUAACCAUGACCUCACACUAUCUUGAUCUCUAUGUGUCUGUCAUGAUAACUGGUAUAUAAAUCAUAAACCGAGUUCUAUUAAUAUGCUAUGCUAGUAAACUUGCCUACAUGUCCAAAUGUUGGUUCAUUGUGACCUAUAUGCCUUUUCAAGUUAAAGUAAAAUGCCAUUAUCUACUAUCUUAUACCUGCCAGUGUCAUUGUCUGAAGUCUGUUUAAAUUUGAUAGCUAAAACGAUUGAAGAUCUGUUUGUUGAUAUAAUUAGUCCACGUGGAUCAAGCAAGGCUAAGAUUAACUUUUUCCUAGUUAAUUUUCUAUUGUCCUGAGUGGUCAACAACUCUUUUUGGAAUUCUAAGUGAGCAUUAUUAGCCUAACUGUUAAAUAAUAGAAUCCUAAUGAAAUGUAUGCCUGUUGUUAACUAUACUGAGGCUUUAUAAAUACCUUUGAACAUACCUUAUGAUCUGAACUCAUGUAGAAUAAAUUUGAAGCAUCAAACCUACAGUGAAGACAAUAGAACAUGCACCUAUGCUCAUUUCUGUGUGAUACUUAUCUGUAACACUUCUGAGUUUAAGGAUCUAUGAGUAGUGAAACAUGUCUAUUGCUUGUACCUUGAUUUUUUGUUUGACCAUGUCUCCACAGUGACCUCAUGCCUACCUGUAUAUCUUACACUCUAAUAUGAAUCCUCUUAAGUCAAUAUUGUGCCUUAACUACAUCUCUGCUUAGAUGAUGAACUACAAUAUUCUAUUUAUUCACAGUUGUUGGGUUUUGUGUGUUUGAAAUUUUAAAACGUUUGAAAUGACUCUUGUACCUUACUGUUUUUAUCUUAGUAGUAUAAAGUUACUCUGUUGAUUCUUGUAUUUGUGUUUAAACCUUUGAGGAAGAUUAAAAGUAGGUGGCUAAGGGUAUUUGGGUGUGAAAACUUGUUGUGGUUAUGAUACCUCUCCAUGACACAAGCACUGCUCGGGAUCCGCGAGACCCUCAUGAACUCUGAAGUGUCAAGGGCUCACAAAGGGGAAUCGUAUCCAUAAAUGGGGAUUUGUACCAAACCUCUAGUCACUAACUCCUAUUACUCCUCAUAAGAUUAGCAUAAAUGAAAUUUGUCUCACCAUAUUUUUUAGCUCUUUGUUAUUAUUUUGUCAUAAAUUUCUAUCUUAUUUCAUUUUACAUUUGAUAUACACUAAUGAUUUUUUUUAUUUUUUGUAUGCACGCUUCGAAUUAGACCCACGGUGUUCCAUUGGGAACUACGGCCUAAAUCCAAAUCCAUCUUGCUCCUGUUCCACACGUUCGGGUCUGCCGCCUUGAAUUAAAUUCUCCAGGGCUUGGACAGGUCUACCGGCCCAAUCUAUCAAGAGUCCUACCUCUCUUCCUUAUUUAUUUCAAACUCUGUUCGUUGUUGUGUAUAUUUUAAUAACCUACUUUAUUGAAUAAUUUUGAUACUUUGAUUGUAUAGGAAUAUAGGCAAACCAAAGUUUAUAGACAAGAAUCAAAUCAAAACUCUGCACUUUAAACCCCUUUAAUAUUUGGCCACUUAUUAAUUUCAGAUUUAUUUUUUCUUAACAA